CUUCCUCUGCUCACACACGGUUCUCUCUCUCACUUCUCUCACAUGCGUCUCUCCUCUCCCUCUCGGCCGGCGAAGUCGCCGGUUUUCGCCGCCUCCGGCGCGGCGGGGCCGGUGCCACUUCUUCACCCUCCUUUUCUUCCCCAUUUCAUCUCCUAAAUCUAAAAUCCCAGAAUUAAAAUAGAUCUAGGGAUUCCUAUUUUCAAUUCACGUUCUCCGGUGAGUUCCGCCACUGCCGCCGCCGUCUCCAUCACACCACCGCUACCUCCGUCUCAGGAGUCCAUGAUUCAGGGUGUCUCUCGGAGUGGCUACUGCUCAAGAUCCGAUUUUUAUAUGUGAUUAUAGCUAUUAUUCAUCACUGUUCUUGGUUACUACCUUUAUCAUGUAAAGUUAACUGAAUUGAAAAGAAAGACUACCUUCUUUGA